rnacentral:rRNA from 1 species
UUAGUUAGUUGGUGAGGUAAAGGCUCACCAAGGCGAUGAUGGUUAGGGGUCCUGAGAGGGUAGUCCCCCACACUGGUACUGAGACACGGACCAGACUCCUACGGGAGGCAGCAGUGAGGAAUAUUGGUCAAUGGGCGCUAGCCUGAACCAGCCAUGCCGCGUGCAGGAAGACGGCCCUACGGGUUGUAAACUGCUUUUCUGCAGGAAGAAUAUAUAGUCUUAGGGCUAUAUUGACGGUACUGCAGGAAUAAGCAUCGGCUAACUCCGUGCCAGCAGCCGCGGUAAUACGGAGGAUGCAAGCGUUAUCCGGAUUCAUUGGGUUUAAAGGGUGCGCAGGCUGUAAAGCAAGUCAGUGGUGAAAGCCCUGGGCUUAACUCAGGGAUUGCCAUUGAAACUGUUUUACUAGAGUGUAGUAGAGGACGGCGGAAUGAGUUGUGUAGCGGUGAAAUGCAUAGAUAUAACUCAGAACACCUAUUGCGUAGGCAGCUGUCUAUACUACAACUGACGCUGAGGCACGAAAGCGUGGGGAGCGAACAGGAUUAGAUACCCUGGUAGUCCACGCUGUAAACGAUGAUCACUCGUUGUUGGCUACUUAGUAGUCAGUGACCAAGGGAAACCGAUAAGUGAUCCACCUGGGGAGUACGUCGGCAACGAUGAAACUCAAAGGAAUUGACGGGGGCCCGCACAAGCGGAGGAACAUGUGGUUUAAUUCGAUGAUACGCGAGGAACCUUACCUGGGCUUAAAUGCUGGCUGCAUUGGAGGGAAACCUUCAUUUCCUACGGGACCGCCAGCAAGGUGCUGCAUGGUUGUCGUCAGCUCGUGCCGUGAGGUGUCGGGUUAAGUCCCAUAACGAGCGCAACCCCUAUCGCUAGUUGCCAGCAUGUAAUGGUGGGGACUCUAGCGAGACUGCCGGUGUAAACCGGAGGAAGGUGGGGAUGACGUCAAAUCAGCACGGCCCUUACGUCCAGGGCUACACACGUGUUACAAUGGCCGGUACAAAGAGCAGCCACCUGGCGACAG